rnacentral:rRNA from 1 species
GACAGAGGGGGCAAGCGUUGCUCGGAAUUACUGGGCGUAAAGCGCGCGUAGGCGGCUUUGUAAGUUAGAGGUGAAAGCCCGGAGCUCAACUCCGGAAUUGCCUUUAAGACUGCAUCGCUAGAAUCAUGGAGAGGUUAGUGGAAUUCCGAGUGUAGAGGUGAAAUUCGUAGAUAUUCGGAAGAACACCAGUGGCGAAGGCGACUAACUGGACAUGUAUUGACGCUGAGGUGCGAAAGCGUGGGGAGCAAACGGG